AUCUUUGCGCAGAGGCAGUACUGUAGACAAUGAAGUUUUACUGAGUCGCAGUUAUUGCUAAUUGAAAACUACUCCCAAUAACCCGCCUAGAUGACCUCAGCGUCGUCUAAGGCAAUUUAUGGGGACCCUUCGGGU